AUUGAACGCUGGCGGCAGGCCUAACACAUGCAAGUCGAGCGAGCGGCGGACGGGUGAGUAAUGUAUGGGGACUGCCUGAUGGAGGGGGAUAACUACUGGAAACGGUGGCUAAUACCGCAUACUAUCAGAUAACCCAUAUGGGAUUAGCUUGUAGGUGGGGUAAAGGCGCACCUAGGCGACGAUCCCUAGCUGGUCUGAGAGGAUGAUCAGCCAAACUGGGACUUAGACACGGCCCAGACUCCUACGGAGGCAGCAGUGGGGAAUAGUGCACAAUGGGCGCAAGCCUGAUGCAGCCAUGCCGCGUGUAUGAAGAAGGCCUUAGGGUUGUAAAGUACUUUCAGCCGGGAGGCGUUACCCACAGAAGAAGCACCGGCUAACUCCGUGCCAGCAGCCGCGGUAAUUC
rnacentral:rRNA from 1 species